GUCUACGGCCAUGCUACCCUGAACAAGCCCGAUCCCCUCUGAUCUUGGAAGCUAAGCAGGGUUGGGCCUGGUUAGUAUUUGGAUGGGAGACCAGCUAGGAAGACCUGGUGCUGCAGGCA
rfam:Pteropus alecto contig85880, whole genome shotgun sequence.